GAUGAACGCUGGCGGCGUGCCUAAUACAUGCAAGUCGAGCGAACGGACGAGAAGCUUGCUUUUCUGAUGUUAGCGGCGGACGGGUGAGUAACACGUGGAUAACCUACCUAUAAGACUGGGAUAACUUCGGGAAACCGGAGCUAAUACCGGAUAAUAUUUUGAACCGCAUGGUUCAAAAGUGAAAGACGGUCUUGCUGUCACUUAUAGAAGGAUCCGCGCUGCAUUAGCUAGUUGGUAAGGUAACGGCUUACCAAGGCAACGAUGCAUAGCCGACCUGAGAGGGUGAUCGGCCACACUGGAACUGAGACACGGUCCAGACUCCUACGGGAGGCAGCAGUAGGGAAUCUUCCGCAAUGGGCGAAAGCCUGACGGAGCAACGCCGCGUGAGUGAUGAAGGUCUUCGGAUCGUAAAACUCUGUUAUUAGGGAAGAACAUAUGUGUAAGUAACUGUGCACAUCUUGACGGUACCUAAUCAGAAAGCCACGGCUAACUACGUG
rnacentral:rRNA from 1 species